CCUAGCAGCCAUAUCACCCUGCAACUCACAACUGGCAGCCCACUGAAGCUCAGCAGGUGUGAGCCUGGUCAGUACCUGGAUGGGAGACCUCCUGGGAAAAACUAAGGUUGCUGCUGGAA
ensembl:rRNA 5S_rRNA 5S ribosomal RNA